CUGCCCUCCAGCGCGGCUGGGUAUUGGGAGCUGUCCCGACCGGGACACGCCCGAAAGGCAGUGGCGGCGCCGCGUCGGUCCUCGAGCGUAUGGGGCUUUGUCACCUGCUCGGGAGGGAUUGGCGGGCGCCUGUCUUCCAUCGACAGGCCUCUCUAGGGGCCGGUCUUCCAC
rnacentral:misc_RNA from 1 species